UGUAUAUCAUGUUUUAUAGAUCGAAUUCGUGGAUUUGCAUGUUUUUUGAAACCUGAAUUUGGAGCUUAGUUAUUGGUUUAGAUAAAUUAUACAUGUUGGACUUGGAUUUGAUUUAGGAGAAAGCAUUUAGAUUCUACACUGUCAUUUUCUGAAAACUAUCAGAUUUAUCUUUAGGAGCUGUAGUUUGUUUGUAUCGCCGCAGUUUGUAUGCGGUGGAUAUCCAGAAUAGUGUAAAAUAAAUUUACGCUCGUGCUGGAAUAACGAGGGUAUUUUUACAGUGUUGUAUAGACAGUUCCGGACUGUCCGAUACCGUCACGGUUGACGGUGGACCCAGUUUGCUAUUUCUGCAUCGAAUUGUGCCGAGAAUACGUGAGUUUUGGUUGUU
rnacentral:lncRNA from 1 species